rnacentral:lncRNA from 1 species
GUGUCUUUUUGCUGAGGUGAGGGAAUUCAGGGAGACACCCAGAAACAAAUGGGAGCUGUCACCCAGCAUAUGAUGCUGCCUCUGCUGUUUACCAAGGAUGGGGAGAGAUUGAUGGUCACCCCAGUUAAUAUCCUAUUUACAGCGGGCAUCUGUCAGCCUCCCUUUAUGGGUCAUGCCCCUCUCCCAAACUGAGACGCACCGCGCUGCUCCUCUACCCAUCAGCCCAUACAAAUGCUGACCCAACGACCCUGCUGAGGACACACUCUGACCUGGCCACAGCUGGAUCCGCCAGAAGUUCCCUUCUUCAUCAGAAAGAACUCCUCUGCAACUGUGGUGUUUCUUGUGUCUGAAAGCACAAUGUUGUUGAUUUAGAGGUCAGCAGCUGCCCUUGGGUUCCCGUGUCGCCGUCAUGCAGGGAGAGAAGGACAUGUCAGGAACCAGUUCUGCAACACAGUGUUGAUACCCUUCACAUUCAAUGCAGGAGGAAACGUUUGAGCGACAUUGAGGGAACUCUCAUCAUAAAUCUGCCCAAAAACAGAACAAAGGGAAGAUUAUUACAGAUGCCCCCAUUCGCUAAGUUGAGAACAUGAAUUGAUGUCGGAUCCACGAUGUACUGUGUGCAUCAAUAUAUUCUGUAACCUGUGUGUCUCUCACAACCCAUUUAAACAAGGGUGAAUGUAAUCACUUCAUAAAGUAUACCACUUCUCCCUCCAUUCAAAUUACAGUAAGAGAUGCAAUGGAAAGCAUGAACUUUAGUAACACUAUAGCAACCAUAAAAAGUGUUAUGUGAUUCUGGACUACUUGUAUCAAGCUCAGAUCCAAUAGUCUUGAGAUCACUCCAUUAUAGAGCCUCAUCAGUGGCUCCCCCAUUACAACUGCUCUCAGCUAGCGCCACCCAGUGGCAGCCAAGCAUACUCAUUGUAUGAUCUAAAUGGCGUGUCAUAGUGGAAUUUUAAACAGACAUAUUUCAACUAGCUGGUUCUGUAAUGGAGUGGAGAUUGGCGGUGUCCUUGAGUGCAGGUCAUAGAGUCACUUGUAAGGCAGCUCAGGAGGGAAAGGAAAGCUGGUGUUUCACUAAUGCCUGAUGAAAUAUGAAUAAAUACUAAAACACUAGGAAAAAUCCAGAGUGCUGAUGAUGGAGCUCUUGGUUUCCCUCUCUCUGCCCCAG